rnacentral:rRNA from 1 species
CAGAGUUAAGCACAGGGACACAUUUGAAGUCUCAGAGCCGGGUGUUGGUUCCGGUAGAGAUCGAGGGAAAUUAGUACCGAAGUCUGAGAUGGAAGAUGGCGAGAAAAGCUGUGUGUAUUUCUGAGGUGCCCGUACCGCAAACCGACACAGGUAGGUAGGAAGAAGAUUCUAAGGCCAACGGGAGAAGGGUUGUUAAGGAACUCGGCAAAUUGACCCCGUAACUUCGGGAGAAGGGGUGCUCCAGAGAUGGAGCCGCAGAGAAUCGGCCCAAGCAACUGUUUACCAAAAACACAGGUUUGUGCUAAAUCGAAAGAUGACGUAUACGAGCUGACGCCUGCCCGGUGCUGGAAGGUUAAGAGGAGAUGUGCAAGCAUUGAAUCGAAGCCCCAGUGAACGGCGGCCGUAACGAUAACGGUCCUAAGGUAGCGAAAUUCCUUGUCAGGUAAGUUCUGACCCGCAUGAAAGGCGUAAUGAUUUGGGCACUGUCUCAACAGCCCGCCCGGCGAAAUUGUAGUACCGGUGAAGAUGCCGGUUACCCGCGACAAGACGGAAAGACCCCAUGGAGCUUACUGUAGCCUAAUAUUGGGUUUCGAUGUUGCAUGCACAGGAUAGAUGGGACACAGGGAAACAAUCGCUUUGGCGGUUGCGGAGUGGCCGUUGGGAUACCAUCCUUGCGAUAUUGGAAUUCUAACCUGCGGCUCUGAAUCGAGUCGGGGGACAUUGUUAGGUGGGCAGUUUGACUGGGGCGGUCGCCUCCUAAAAAGUAACGGAGGCGUUCAAAGGUUCGCUCAGCUUGAACGGAAAUCAAGCAAAAGAGUGCAAACGCAGAAGCGAGCCUAACUGCGAGACUGACGGGUCGAGCAGUAACGAAAGUUGGAGUUAGUGAUCCGGUGGUAUGUGAGUGGAAAUGCCAUCGCUCAACGGAUAAAAGUUACCCUGGGGAUAACAGGCUGAUCUCCCCCAAGAGUCCACAUCGACGGGGAGGUUUGGCACCUCGAUGUCGGCUCAUCGCAUCCUGGGGCUGUAUUCGGUCCCAAGGGUUUGGUUGUUCGCCAAUUAAAGCGGUACGCGAGCUGGGUUCAGAACGUCGUGAGACAGUUCGGUCCCUAUCUGUCGUGGGCGCAGGAUAUUUGAUGGGAGCUGUCCCUAGUACGAGAGGACCGGGACGGACGUACCUCUGGCGCACCAGUUGUUCCGCCAGGAGCAUAGCUGGGCAACUACGAACGGAUCGGAUAAACGCUGAAAGCAUCUAAGCGUGAAGCCGACCCAAAGAUAAGAUAUCCCACUGAUUCAAUCAGGUAAGAUCCCUUGAAGACCACAAGGUUGAUAGGCACGAUGUGUAAGGGGAGUGAUCCAUUCAGCAAGAGUGUACUAAUAGAUCGAGGGCUUGAUC